UGCCAGCCGCCGCGGUAACACGAACUGCGCGAACGUUAUUCGGAAUCACUGGGCUUAAAGAGUCCGUAGGCGGCUUUGUAGGUGAGGUGUGAAAUCCCACGGCUCAACCGUGGAAUUGCGCUUCAAACCGCAUCGCUAGAGGGAGAUAGAGGAGAGCGGAACUCACGGUGGAGCGGUGAAAUGCGUUGAUAUCGUGAGGAACACCGGUGGCGAAAGCGGCUCUCUGGGUCUCUUCUGACGCUGAGGGACGAAAGCUAGGGGAGCGAACGGGAUUAGAUA
rnacentral:rRNA from 1 species